AUACAUGUCUGGCAGAGGAGGGGAGGAUAGCAUGAACCUGAAAGUGGUUUUCCCAGGGCGUCUCCACUGCACCCAAAGGUGUGCUGACUGCUGGGAUUUCUCCUAAUAUGGGAAACUUGACUGAAUAAUUUAUGCUAGUGAGAAAAAGCAUGAAUACAGUCUCCCU
ensembl:snRNA U1 U1 spliceosomal RNA